GGCGUGGGGGGUGCCUGAUAUCUCCGCUCUAUUUUACAGUUACUCCCCUGCUGGUGCCUCCCUCCUUGGCGCGCUUCCCACCUGCGAUCGGCGCCCUCUUCGCAGUCACGAACUCGCCAGCAGCUAGCAGCACUGACUAGUAGGAGGGCCCGCCGGAGGAGAGGAAGCCCCAGAGAGAUUGGUGAGGGUGAUUUCCCAGGAAGACGCAGUGUGCUCUGACUUCUGUGACAGUGAGCAACGGGACCAGUGGAUGUCCAGAUGCUGGCAAUGAGACAUGCUCUGGAGUCAGAAGACAGCGAAAAGAGAAGCAGAAGCCCCGGUGGCAAGAGUCUGAAGCUGGAAAGGAGGAGAACAUGAAACAUUGCUUGAAGACAAUGGCCGAGACAGCAGGUCCCACCCUGCACAGCCACCAGCAUCUCUCCCCUCAGCCCUGUCUCCUCUUCUGCAGUUGGGAUCUGCACAUUUAAGCCUGAAAUUGUCCUGUGAAGUGAAGUAUGAUCGGACAGCCUCUUUUCAGCUUUUAUGACAAUGGAGACAGAGGAAUUGUGGCUCUUGCCAAGGUCACAGGAUUGGAAUACAGAGCCAAGCCACCCCAGGACAUGCAAGAGCCUCAGAAGGGAAAAAAGCCCAGCAGGAAGGGAGAACAAGUAGCCUCUGUCCUGAAGUUGUAACAGCCAGGGGCCAGGAUGGAGGAGGAGGACCCCAUAAUCUGCCCAUCUGGGACUUGGCAGGGGACCUGGGAAAAUGUACCCCAACCCAUCCCUUAAGGGCCUUUGUCUUUGGCCCAUUGGCCUAGCAUCUACUUCUUCACCGUGUCUGUUCUUGUCACACCUAGUCAGGUCUGUUUGGGUCUGAGGUGCAUGGAACAUUCUGGGUAGGCCUCCAGCAAACGGAAGCUCUUCACCGUGUUUCCAGCCUGGGACCAAGGGCAGCAUACUGGCAAAGUUGCCAAAGCAAGGGACUCCAGCCUCUUAGGAGUUAAUGACUCCCUCUCCCCAGCUGUCCUCCCCUUGGUGCUCCUCUUCCUCCCUCCUCCUGCUCACAGCAGGCAGGGCCUAGACCCGGGAGCCAUGCUGCUGUGCUGUUGCCAGGGGAGCACGGAGGCAGAUCUGAGCUAUGCAGGGAAAAGGCCCAGCCUGUCAAAGUGUCUGAGAUGAACCGCCGCCGUCCCUGUGCAGCUGGGCUCAGACGUGUCUCAGCUCUUGUUCUGUGCCUGAGAAUGGCGAAACCCAGUGAGGUUCAAGGGCAAACUCGCUAUUCAUUAGUCAGGGGUUCUUGACGUCCCGUCUCUCCCAGGGAUGAGUUCCCCCCUCCUCUUUCUCCCCCUCCUAUGACACAUUCCUGGGUGCCUUUGGUGAGGACUGCACACCCUCCUCCUGCCUAGCCCCCUCUCCAAAGGCCCCUGAAUAAACUCCCCCCAAGGAGACCAGGCAGGGCAGAGACAAUGGCUGCAGGAAAUCAUUCAGGCGGGACAUGCUGGCCUGCCCUCCACCCAGUCCCCCUGUGGGCCCCACUCCCUUCUGAUUCAGGGCACCCUUGGGCCCCCAGCCUAUACAGGCCUGGACAGGAAGAAACCACUGGGAACCACCCUAAGGACAACAUGCUAGUCCAGUGCCAUUCUUCGCUGGCUCUGUGGGUGCCUUUGUGGCCUGUACCGACUGGCUGGCUAAUUUUGUGGUUUCUGUACCAUCACAUGCCUAUUUUAAGACACUCUCCAGCACUGUCGGUUAGGGAGUGUAAAUUUUGCAAUAUUUUCUGAAAUGUGGCAAUAUCAAAAUGUAAAAGGCACACAUACUUGGUCACAAACAAAUGGCACUAUUUACUCUGUGGGCAUAUUUGUAAAAGUUGCCAAAGAAUUAUAUACAAGGAUGUUCAUCAGAGCAUUUCUUUUGAAGAGUAAAGAAAUGGACAUGAACCUGUGGUCCGUUCAUACGGUGGAAUACCUAUGCAGCUGUAAAAAUCAGUGUGGUAGAUCUCCGUAUAUGAGUUGAUGUGGAAGGUUGGCCAGUUCACAUGAUAAGGUGAAUAGAAUAAGUUACAGAACAGGCUGUAGAGUAUGAUCUUAUUUGUAGAUGUUUAAAACUGAGUCAUAAGUAUGCUUAUAUACAGAUCGUUUCUGGAAGUAUGUACUGGAAGUCUACCUCUGGGGAGUGGGGAUGGGGGAGUGCACUCUUCUAUACUGUUAUAUUUUCUUUUCAUGCUCCUAAGGUACUUUUAUUGGAAGAUGUAAAGCGGUUCAAUGUAAUAGGCUUAACUUCUGUCAACUAAGUUGGCGUGGGUGCUUUAAGAGGGUGGUAGUGAUGUUGCUGGAGAAAGUAUCCCACAGUCACUGGUGGCUUCAGCCACGGGCCAUUUUGGGGCCUAAUAAUCACAUAUCAUCAUGGUUGCUAGUGUUAAUCGAAAACCUACUAAGUGCCAGGCUUACUGUCUCUGGGUCUUGCUUACGUGGAUGUCAUUUUUCCAGUUGCACCAAAUCGAAAGAGGUUAAUUGGUUUGUUGGAGUUCCUUUGUAGGUGAAGGGCAGAGCCAGGAGCUUGGCUAGGGACAGGGGAGGUGAGUGGGGGAUGGUGGAUAGGUCUUGGCUCCCAGUUUCCUUCUGGGCAGACAUUGCCCCUCUGCCCUGAGGACCUGCUUGUUUGGGGGAAGAGGCCUUUAGAGGCACCAGGGUCAUGCCAGGUGUUGGACAUGGUGAACUGGGAAGUGCUCCCAUCUGGCCACAGCGCAGAAGUAUCACCGUGCUGGGGGAUGGGGAACAGGGCUGUGAAUGGGCCUAUUUGCAUAAGCAGCAUGUGUCUGGAGAGAAAGACAUCACAGAGCAGAAGAGUGCGGGUGCCCAGGAGUGCACUUGCCACCCCUACUUCAUCCCUGAAAGAGUAAAUGGCCUGGAAGGUGUCUCUGAGAGGUAAUGCCGCACACCACCCUCCCUGGGGGCAGGGUCAGGCUACACCUGCCUUAGGUCGGGGGCUGCAGCAGCCUGAGAGCUCUCAGUAGGGCCUCAGUAGCCUGGGAGGGAGCAGGGGCAGGGGGCAGGGAAAGAGGCGUAAUGGGGCUGUCCAGAGGGGCCUGGGAAACCUGGUCCCUGAGGCCUGGGCACAGCUACAAUCACUUCAAAUUGGCUGUGGGGCCAGUGGACUGGGAAGGAAAAAAGCAAUAAGAGUGACCAAGUGCAGAAGGCUGUCAGGUCCCAGGUCACAUGCCUUAGUGCAGUGACUCCUCAUCAUUUUAUGGGGUGUGGGUGUCGUUGGUACACCCAUUUUACAGAUGAGGACACCGAGGCCCAGAAAAGUUAAGUUACAUGUCCUAAGUCACACAGCUUGUAAGUGCCAGAACUGAGAUCAAAACCAAGUCUCUUUGACUUUAAAGUCUGUACUCUGACCCCAAAGAGAUCCUGUUUGGCCACUUAUAGGAGGUCCCUAAAGCUGCAGACUCCCCUUGCCGGCACCCACAUAUAGAGACAUUAACCCUUCCCCUGCAGGGUCACCUCAAAUAGUCUUUUAGCUGGGCUUCUCCUGCAAUUCCACCUAAUGCCAUCCCCUGGGUUUUGCCCAAACCUGAACUGGGCAGUGGGGUGAGAGGAGGGGUUUACAGGGUUACAGAGCCUCAUACAGAUAGGAGCCCAUGGCUGCUGGUCAUCUGCAUUCCUGCAGGAUUGGCUGUUCCUUGGGGUCCUUGGCAGGAAAAUGAGGAUUGCUCCGAGGCCUGCUCCAGUACUUCCCAGAGGCUGGCCUGGUGUGGGGCUCUGGGAAGGCUGAGGCUGGAGAAGCGUAAGUAGGAGGGCAGAGAUGGCACUCAGGUAGCUUGAAUCACCAGGACCCUUCCAAGCCCCACAGGUUCUGAGGGAGUACUAGGGCCAGCUCUGGGAGAGGUCUCUUCCUAUGCUGUGAACCCCCUGCCUUUCUUGCAGCCUACAACGAAUAAAUUUUCUUUGCAAAGGCUUCCGUGUCUCUGGUCAGUUUUUCUAGGAGGACAUGAGUGAGGAAAGUAGCACUCCGCCACCAGCAAAAACAACUGCUUGUGUCUUGCGGUGUGGUGGGGACACUGGUAUGGGUGCA
rnacentral:lncRNA from 1 species